UUGAGCCAGCCAGAGGUCUAAUUCCAACAAAGAAGUAACGAUUUCCCUUCUGCGUUUCAUUUUAAGCUCGCUGCGUUUUUAGGUUACUGGUCUCGCAGGGAAUGCUCCACACAGAUACCCGAUACCGAGCUCCUUUUAUUUAAUACAGUGAAACUGCAACUGGGCUGGGAGAGAUGACGAGUUCCUUACCAAGAAUGUCAAAGAGGUGCUUCUAGGACUUUAACAAAAGGCAACUUUAACAAAGCAAGAGGAACCAACAUUU